UACGUAGGGUGCAAGCGUUGUCCGGAAUUAUUGGGCGUAAAGAGCUCGUAGGCGGUUUGUCGCGUCUGCUGUGAAAACUCACAGCUCAAUUGUGGGCGUGCGGGCGAUACGGGCAGACUGGAGUACUGCAGGGGAGACUGGAAUUCCUGGUGUAGCGGUGGAAUGCGCAGAUAUCUGGAGGAACACCGGUGGCGAAGGCGGCAUCCUGGACCAACACUGACGCUGAGGAGCGAAAGCCAGGGGAGCAAACGGG
rnacentral:rRNA from 1 species